UACGUAGGGGGCAAGCGUUAUCCGGAAUUACUGGGUGUAAAGGGAGCGUAGGCGGUGAUGCAAGUCAGAAGUGAAAGCCCGCAGCUCAACUGCGGGACUGCUUUUGAAACUGUAUGACUAGAUUGCAGGAGAGGUAAGCGGAAUUCCUAGUGUAGCGGUGAAAUGCGUAGAUAUUAGGAGGAACACCGGCGGCGAAGGCGGCCUGCUGGACUGCGACUGACGUUGAGGCUCGAAAGCGUGGGGAGCGAACAGG
rnacentral:rRNA from 1 species